GACGAACGCUGGCGGCGUGCCUAAUACAUGCAAGUAGAACGCUGAAACUUGGUGCUUGCACCGAGCGGAUGAGUUGCGAACGGGUGAGUAACGCGUAGGUAACCUGCCUGGUAGCGGGGGAUAACUAUUGGAAACGAUAGCUAAUACCGCAUAAGAGUAGAUGUUGCAUGACAUUUGCUUAAAAGGUGCAAUUGCACCACUACCAGAUGGACCUGCGUUGUAUUAGCUAGUUGGUGGGGUAACGGCUCACCAAGGCGACGAUACAUAGCCGACCUGAGAGGGUGAUCGGCCACACUGGGGCUGAGACACGGCCCAGACUCCUACGGGAGGCAGCAGUAGGGAAUCUUCGGCAAUGGACGGAAGUCUGACCGAGCAACGCCGCGUGAGUGAAGAAGGUUGUCGGAUCGUAAAGCUCUGUUGUAAGAGAAGAACGAGUGUGAGAGUGGAAAGUUCACACUGUGACGGUAUCUUACCAGAAAGGGACGGCUAACUACGUG
rnacentral:rRNA from 1 species